rnacentral:rRNA from 1 species
AGUGAACGCUGGCGGUAGGCCUAACACAUGCAAGUCGAACGGCAGCACAGGAGAGCCUGCUCUCUGGGUGGCGAGUGGCGGACGGGUGAGGAAUACAUCGGAAUCUACUUUUUCGUGGGGGAUAACGUAGGGAAACUUACGCUAAUACCGCAUACGACCUACGGGUGAAAGCAGGGGACCUUCGGGCCUUGCGCGAUUGAAUGAGCCGAUGUCGGAUUAGCUAGUUGGCGGGGUAAAGGCCCACCAAGGCGACGAUCCGUAGCUGGUCUGGGAGGAUGAUCAGCCACACUGGAACUGAGACACGGUCCAGACUCCUACGGGAGGCAGCAGUGGGGAAUAUUGGACAAUGGGCGCAAGCCUGAUCCAGCCAUACCGCGUGGGUGAAGAAGGCCUUCGGGUUGUAAAGCCCUUUUGUUGGGAAAGAAAUCCAGCUGGCUAAUACCCGGUUGGGAUGACGGUACCCAAAGAAUAAGCACCGGCUAACUUCGUGCCAGCCGCCGCGGUAA